AGCAGCAUGGCCUAGUGGAAGGAGCAUGGGACUGGAAGUCCGAGGAACUGGGUUCUAAUCCCAGUUCUGUGA
rnacentral:tRNA from 1 species